rnacentral:lncRNA from 1 species
UGUUGCCCUUAACCUUGAUUUGUAGUGAGUGAUAGGAAUCAUAUGGAUUCUGUAGUUACCUGGAAGGACACUUACCUAACAUCCUACACGAGAGGUCCCUCUCAACUAGCUCUGGUGUAGCAUUGUAGAUGGGCUAGUGUGGACCACUAUUGUUAGUGGUGCUAGGCCCCAUUUCAGGUAGCUUAUUGGCUGAUGUGUACGUAAUUCUAUCAAACCUAAUUUCUCCAACAGAUCUUGUUUGCCUUCUGCGGUGGAAAACAGGAGAUUUCUACAGUGCUGAUAUUUAUCUUCACCACAUGAAUUUCUUGUAUUUUUGCUUUCACAAAUUGGACUGAGAUGUUUAAUCAUACAUGUGCCAUGACAAUGCUACGGAACACUUCUUUUUGCCACUGGACACCAUUCUACUCUUAUAAUUUGUGGUUCUUUCUACUGCUUGUUUUGAUCACUAAAUUUGCUCAUUUCCAUCUAUACUUUUCUGCACUGAAAAUCUGCUUCAAGUAUGUGGACAAUGGAACCUUGCUGAUGCCAUAUAGGUCAUGAACCAUUAAAGAGCAUCUGUUCAAGGGAGCGCACUGAGGCUCUGUCGUGCAUGUAAAUUCAACUGGCAGGAGGUGGUGUGUUAAUAAAAGGGCUUAUAUCUGUUGUUAUUGAUGCAUGUGGGAGCCUCUAAGUGGGGAACAGUUGUAUCAGAUUUGCUCACCUUUUGUGAACAGUUGAGCAUAGCUCAAAAGCAUAUUACUAUGCUUCUGAAAACGAAACUUCUUGGUGUGCUCAUUUUGGUCGGAAAUGGUACAGCCUAAGAACAAAUUGCUUUGUGCUGGACUGCUUUGUACUUAACUAUGCAUUUAUCUUUUAGUACUGUUCUUUUUGCACUGCGUGCUCUGCUUAGAGUUUUAAAAUUGUCAAACUCUUUGAUUUGCCUUCUUUGGGCCUAGCUUCUAGGCUUAGCAAGGUAAUAGCUAGCAGGUAUAUUUGUUGUUUUUCGAAUUUAGAAAGCAUAUUUUCUUGAUAACUUUGCAUAUGCGCCAUCCGUACACAUGUGUGGAUAGCGUCAAGGAUACUCAAUUUGUUGGCCCUUUAUCUGUGGAAAAGCAUGUAUUUUUCAAAAGGGUAAUGAUGAUGCACACUAGAGAAAGUGCUUCAUGCUCAUGUCUUCUGUCCUGCACCUUUUGCACAGUAGAUCUUCUGUAGUAUGCCAUCUCGUGAUAUCAAACCUUUUUGGGUCCAUGAAUACAUUCUAAACUCGUUACUCAGUUAAAAUUGCUAGUUCCUUCCAGGAAGAUCAUACCUAUUGAUGCUACAUCCCUCUGAGCUCAGUAAGUUUCUGUUUCACCUUAUAUAACCUGCCACUUUGUCAGCCUGAACUUGCUAUCCUUUUCCGUUCUUAAGCUAAAGCGGUACAUUGGUAUUCAUUUUUUUUCUUUGUACCUAAUAAACAUAUUCUUGGGGACAUACCUGAAACUUCUAUCCAGAAGAGCGAAUACGUCACCUCCUUGGGGUACCUUUCUUCCCACCCUCCAAAAAUGUGUUUCAUAUGAUUUGACAACUUCUUUUUCUUGGAAAAGACAGAUAAUGAGAUCAGCGUCAAGCAAGCACUACUACCAGCAGAUGCAUCAUGCAUGUGGACCACAGCACUGGCCAGUGGCUAGUACCACGGAUGGUUCCGCCUACCUGACCGUGCAAGUCAGUCCACUUCUCAUCAUCCCCUGUACGUGCAAGUGCAGCUCCGCAAGGUACCUUCCAAGUAUAUAUAUAUAUAUAUAUACACCCAGUCUCCUCACCUUGCAACUCUGGGCUCUUAACGAGAUUGGCAGAGUUUAUGCCAAUGAACAGGCUACAAGAUCUGACGCCUGCUCCAUCCAUGACGGUGCCGAUCGAGCAUUCCUCUAGGCCGACGCUGGGGUUUCCCCUGGGGACUGCGCUGUUGCUCCUUGUGAUCUUCUCCCUGAGUGGCAUGUUCUCGUGUUGCUACCACUGGGACAAGCUCCGCUCCCUCCUCCGGUCUCGGCAUCCUGCCAUGUUCCAAGAGGGCGAGCAUACGGUGAUCUCCAUCACGUCAUCACCGAGCAAGGAAACUCCUGAUCACAAGGUAGUAGCACUCUCUAUGCAUGCCUCAUCUUAACAUCUUCCCGCAGCCCUGGAAUUCUGUAUCCUGUAAACUUCAGCUUAUAGAAUGAUCCUCUGUGCGUGUGUGCUGUUUGCAGCUGGAGAAAGUGGGGAAGGAGUGUGGUUUGCCUGUUAUUAUGCCUGGGGACAAGGUCCCCAAAUUCUUCGCGAGGCCGUGCCCACACGAGAUGUGUUUGCCUGAAGCAGAGAAGACUGAAGUUCCAUUGGAAACCAAAUGUUCGGUUCAUGAAACCAUCUGUAUCUGUACAUCAUCAGUACACGAAAGCACACUUAGCCGUUAGUGAACUUAUGAUUGGCAGGUUGGGUGUAUAUAUGCAUGUUAAUAGAUUGUUAUCUGAACAUUCGGUCUUGUCCCUUGUGCUAUAUAUACUAGGAUCUGGCUGAGAUAGGCAAAUAUUUCUUUUUUAGUAGAGUUUGAAAAGGACGAUUUGUGUUCUAACAAGCUUGUUGAAUGCUUUUGCGUGUGGAUCAGUCUUGUGAAUACUAUCUGUCUGUCUGUCUGUCUGUCUGUCUUCAAGGUCGUUCGCGACGGGCUUUGACUAUGUGGUUCUGGGAUUUGUGAGCCUCCCAGUCCCAGGUAAGCAAUGCUUUUACCGCCACUCAUAUCUUCAACUCUGCUAUUGGGAAACUAAGCUUAGGUGGUUGGCCGUCAUGGAGAUUGGAUACAUUGGAAGAAUAUGAUGGGUUGACAAACCAUCCUGAUUUUAUGAAUACCGUACCAUGUGAUUCAGACAAUCGGUGAUGCGAAAAUCAAUUGUUGUAAGGUUGCUCUUUCCUCACCUAUUGCUCGUACGUAUGUAUCUUUUGUUAUUUCAUUCAUUUACGCGUACAGUAUAUGUGAUGAGGUGAGAAGCAGCCAUGUUGUGGUGGUGCUUUUAUUUGCAAAUGGUGCAGUACGUAGUAAUGCGUGGUGAUGUAUUGGAGACUCUGAUCUGGUGAGUGCUCCAUCGGCUUGGAAAGGUGUCUUUCUGGGUAGCCGUCGAAUCUGUUUGGUGCUUUUGCUUAGUGCCGUGCACGUAUAUAUUUGUGAUCUGAAUCAUAGAUGAGGCUCGAUCUCUAGGCAUACGCUACGGCCCUGUUUGAUACCAGGAGCACAUGGGAUGUUUAUACUAAUCAAGAGUAUUAAAUAUAAACUAAUUGCACAGAUGGAGGCUAAUUUAUGAGACGAAUCUAUUAAGGCUAAUUAGUCCAUAGUUUGACAAUGUGGUGCUACAGUAACCAUUUGCUAAUGAUGGAUUAAUUAGGCUUAAUAGAUUUGUCAAGUGAAUUAGACCCAAGACUUCUGCAAUUAGUUUUAUAAUUAACUCAUGUUUAGUCAUUCUAAUUAGCAUUCGAACGUUCGAUGUAAGAAGGACUAAACUUUAACCUAAGGAUCUAAACACGCUCUAUAUCUAUGUAUAUGUACCUAGAAAAGUCAAAACGACCUACAAUUAAUUAUUAACGUUAAGAAAAUGCUCGAUGGGAGGGAAUAAAAUAAAAAAAAGAUGCAUGCACUGAGGGAGUGGAGAUCAGGGGACAGCGGCCUAACAUAUGUUAUAUAUACUCGAAGCUAAGCUUAUAGUACAUCAAGUCUAGUCUGAACCGGCCAACCUCGAUCUAUGGCCGACAGGGGUGGACCAUAGAGCUAGACGUCCGUACCCGUCUCCGUGGUUGCGUUGCCUCUGAAAUCUGAAUCGAAUUUUACUUUGUUGCUCCAGCUAGCACACGACGUACGCUUCUUCUUCAGUUUCCGGCCGUCGACAUGGAUCCUUUCAGUUUUCCGGCAGAUGCAGCAUGCAAAGCACGCCUAUCAACACCGUACCGCUGCGCCGUCCGGUCCGGUCCGGUCGGCCAGCUUUGCAUUGCAUGUCGCCAUCCGAUCCUCCAGUCAAAAAGACUAGCGCUGCACAUCCAUUAAUUAAUUUAAUUUAAUUCUGAGCCUACCGUAUAUACCAUGCAUCUACUCCACAUAUAUAUACCAAGUUCAUUCAGUGCGAAAAAGAUCCAUGGAGCAGCGGAUUGGCCCAGCAGGCCAGCACACACGGUCCACAUGGCCCGUUUACAUAAUCACAUUACCUACUUUCCCAGGCCCAGCGAGAGCCCAAGCAGCGUCCGCGGUGAGGAAGGGGCCGCGUCACCCGCCCGUCCCGUCCGUCAGUUACUACCCGCCACCUCUCCCCUCCCCGUCCGCCGCUCCACUCCGGCGACGGCGAUGAUACUCCGCCGCCUACAUCUACAUGGCUCCAUCUCCCGCCGAUCCCUCGCGUCCGCUGCCGCCGCCACUCUCCGCGGCACCGCCCCGCGCACCUUGCCUUCCCCGGAGCUCCUCCGUCGCCUCCACGACUCUGCGGGAGACGGCGCCUCCUCGGAGUCGGAGCACGCCCGCAAGCAAGGUACCUCGUCAUCUGUCCCUCCCCUUGCUUCAUUUAGCAAGCACCGUUUCGUUCUGCAUGAUACGGGUACACUCCGCUGCUGAUCCACCGCUCGAUUGUUCAAUUAUAGGACACCGAACCGGCACCCCACGGCAUUGCUGAUUAGUGGUUCCAAAUUUCAUCUAAGGCCGGGCAAAUUGGUUACAAGUCACUGAUGCCUUUCAUGUGCCCCUAGAUAGGGUUCAAACCUGCCACUGUGUGUCCAUGAUGAAACUCAACCUUGUAAUGAUUUGUUGUGCUCAUCAGAAUUAACACUUGCCAGAGUUGGGGAUUUUCCACCACCACGUGCCUCAACACGCUUUAGUUAGCUAGUCAUGUGAUCCCCACCCAUCUUCCAAAGAUGCACGUUUCUGGCAUUUAACAUGAUGACACAGUGAUAAUUUCAUUUCUCAAAUUCCAUCGUAACAUCUUUUCCCUCUUCAAAGUUUGGCUUCUCAUACUCUUGUGUUCUAUCUGAAGGUCCUCUUACGCUCUACAGGAAUCUAGUAAGCCAAGGGAGACUCACCCAUGACAGUUACCAGGAAAAUGUAGCUUCCGAGUUAGACAACUUACUCAGAAGACUCCAACAGUAUGAGAUGGAAAUGGAGGAUUACCAUGUAAGUCGCGUGCUGUUUCUUCUCAGUAGUCAGUACCUCUUUGUAUUGUUGUUCAGUAAAACAACCUUGUCACUUCUAACUUACAUAAAGUGCAGGCAAAGCUGUACAUGUGGGAGAAUAGCAGGGAGAAAGAGAGGCGAAGGCUUCUCGUUGAAGAAGCUGAAGAUAAGCAGCGUGAUGGUGUAUGGAUAGAUGAGGAAAGGGGAUUUCUUGAUAAAUUGGUUACACGGUAAUAGUUUAGUGUCCUUCUCCUUCCUCAAACUUUUCAUUGUGGAGCCAUGUAACUCUUGGGCAUGCUUUCAUGCGGCAUCUUUUUACAUCACAGCUCAUCUGUCAUUUUAAUUUAUAUAAUAACAAUUAUUGAUUGAUGGAGUUCUAUUGGCAUCUCUCAAUCCCUGCAAGAGCACUAAUAAUGAAAAGCAGGGCAAUAUUAACUAAGCAUGUCAGAUGUUAAGUUUGCUCUAUAUAUGAACUGAAAUACGUUGUAUCUGUUUAUUUUUCUAACCUGUAUUUGUUGAUUAAAAACCCAGGAGAAGAAGAGGAAGCAUAGAACCUGGAGUUGGUAAGUGGGUAUCGUACCUGAACCGAGAGAAGAAACUAGAUAAACUGGUGGGCCAGAGACCAAUCGCUCCUGUUGCUCCUAAAGGAUUGUAUCUCUAUGGAAAUGUUGGAAGUGGUAAGCUACCUGAAUUAUUCACAUGCAGCAUGCUGAAAAUAAGCAAUAUCUGCUCUGAUUACCGUGAUAAUGUUUUAUGUUUCUGAAUGACUAUUGUAUAUCACUUAUAAAAAUCUCAAGGAACUACCUGUGCAUAGGGAAGACAAUGUUGAUGGACAUGUUCUAUGGGGCCACUGAAGGUGUUAUCAAGCACAGGAGGAGGUUUCACUUUCAUGAGGUCAAUUUAUCUUAACCUGAUAUAGAUAUUGUACCUGAAGAACAACUUAUCUGAUUGAAGAUGACUAAUAAUAUGUGUCGAUACUAUGUCAACUGUAUCUGUUAUCUGUUGGGGAUUUUUAGUAGCAUACCCAUGCACAUGCACAUCUAUCUGAACUCAGUUACACAAGCGUGGCUUGGCAAGUCGGCAAUAACAUAAUCUGAUAAUCCUAUAAAUUAUAUUUUUGGACCAUUCGAGAAAAAUAAAUUUACUUUGUAGUUAUGUUGCCUAAUCUUUGCAUAAAUUUGGAGGAACUCUUUGAUGCAGGCCAUGCUUGAAAUACAUGAUCAUAUGCAUGAUGUAUGGAAGAGACGUGAUGAUGACAAGUCUGUUCAGACAAGUGCUUUCAGCUGGAUAUCAAGCCUUCCUUUUGAUGCAAAAAUUAAGGAGUGGCUGAUCGGAGAAGAGAAGUACAAACAAGGGACACAGCAAAAGCAUAUCCUUUUGGCUGUUGCUGACAAGUUUCUGGUUGAUAGACAAGCAAAUAAAACUGGAGCAAGCAUUCUAUGCUUUGAUGAGAUACAGGUACCUAAACGGUGAAAUGUCAAGGAUUGAAGUAUUUUCUCCUUUUCUUCCUGGCUAAGAGGAUCAUUUCUUUCAUAGAAUUUAGCAGCUUGCCUAUUGGAUUACUUACAAAAUUGGGGAAAUAAUAGAUAUAAGAUUGGCAUUGGUAAAAAAAAUUAGGACAGUAUAGGUUAAUAUGUUGUUUGGUUGUUUUUUCCAUUUGUUUGUGGCACAAGUGUUCUAAUUGUUUCAGGGGAUGCACUUGAGGCUGUAUCCUUUUUCUUCUAUUGUGAAGUUAUAAGCAGCUCUCCUGCAUAUUUGAGGAAAAAAGAAAACAUUGUUUACUUACUCCAAUAUGGCCUAGCAUAAUUGUAACUUCAACAUUUCAAUGAUGAAACUAAUGCAUUACUGGCAAAUUAUACAAUUAAUCUUGAUCUUGUGCAACAAUAUAUGAAGAAUUGAAGUUAGCUAAGCUCUUCUUUUAUUUAUAAUCAUGCAUAUACCUCUUUCUACUUUAUCAUAAUAAUUCAAGAUCGUGGAACAGUGAAAAGUACUUAGUUAUCGUUGCUAAUUAAUGCUCUGCAACUUAGGGCUUUUUUUUUUAAAAAAAAAAACACUGAACAGGUUCAUUUGUGCAGACUAUCGAUGUAUUUGCAGUUGUGGCCCUGUCUGGCAUUCUAAGCAGAUUGCUAAGCACAGGAACCGUACUUGUAGCAACCAGUAAUAAAGCACCUGAAGAUCUGAAUCAGGCAGGUCCUUGUUCAAAUGGUUAUUAUUUGAUUUCCUUCUUUCUCUAAUUUAUGAAUUAGCUGUAUUACAAUUUCUCACAAACUUUUGAAGUUAAAUUCUAUAGUACUGCAUUUUGAUCUUUUCAAUCUUUUUUCUGUUGGUUUUGUAGGAUGGGAUGCAAAGGGACAUCUUCCUUGAGUUAUUAUCAAAACUGGAUGAGAACUGCAAUAAGAUUCUUGUGGGAACUGAAAAGGAUUAUCGUCGCCUAAUUCCAACAGAAGGCUCAACUCAGGUCUGUUCCACUUGUUUUUUAGGUACUUUUUCGAAAUUUGGCUAGGAGCACUAGCAUUCAAUUGAGUAGGCAGGCACUUCGAUGUAUGAUUUGAACCCAGGUGGGUGAGGGGACAACACAGUCUUUUGACAAAUGUUAUGGCACUGUAGGCGAUUGAUGAAACUUCGCAUGGAUAAUUUUGUUGCUUUUAAGAGAUAAACCUGGUGUUUAUCCUGGUCCUCAAGAAUAUAUUCCUUUCAUUGUUAUCUAGUCUUUGUGGCGAUGACAUAAGUUUUGAGCUAUGAAGGGUGUUUAAGGGAUUAAAUUCAACUUCUUUUUAGUGGAUGGCAACUCUAGGUAUAUCCUAUAUAGUAAGUUAUAGCUGCAUCAUGAGCUUUAUAUUGAGUGGUCUGUAUUGUAUUUAUAUAUUUGAACAUAAACUGGUUAGAUAUAUCUCUCUUCUGAGCCCCUGCAGCUGCAGGUUUACUCAUGUUGUAUUUAUUAUUCUCAAUGUUUAUCAUGAUAUAAUAAAUACUUUUCUAAAUUGUUGGCAGGUUCACUAUUUUUGGCCUGUCACUUCUGACACUUGCCGCAUGUAUGAGGCUAUGUGGCAUGACAUAACUAACCAAACAGGAGGAAACAUUAUUUCUGUCACCAUUCCUGUAAUGUUUGGGAGGUAUGUCCAUUGAAUAAAGCAUCUCUGUACCGGUGAAAACAAGCUAGAUUAACUUCAAUCGCAUGUGGACAGGUCUAUUGAGAUUCCUCAAAGCUGUAAUGGUGUGGCAAGAUUUGACUUCGAGUAUCUAUGUGGACGCCCAGUAAUAAUUCACUCUCGUUUCACAUCUGUCUAGAAUUUCUGUUGGAUGGAUAAAAUACAAAGAUGUUAUUUUACUUCAUCUAGAAAAAAUGACAUAGUACCUUUCUUCUGUAAAACUCCUUUAUCUUGAACUUUGAACUGAAUUAUGAUGCUAUUAACUUAUUAUUACAUGCAAGACGGUAAAUAAAUUUAUAAGACCCAAUACAAGGUGCUCAGAUCAUGUAAUUAUAGUAGCUAUUUUUGUUAUCUUGAGAACAUAGUAGCUCAUUUCUAAAUCUUUGGUCAACCCUGUACUUAUUUUUCAGGUUGGAGCUGCAGAUUAUAUAGCAAUAGCCAGGAACUACCAUACUAUUUUCAUAUCAGAAAUUCCAGCUAUGAGUAUGAAGAUCCGUGACAAGGUAUAUUUUUUCUCUUGCUGUUUUUACUGCUUUUUUCAGUCUGUUUGGUCGGAGGUAAUAGGUGCAGGGGAAUGUGAAUUUAGCAUACAGAGCUUCAAAGUCCUUGUUUUGUUCUUGGGCAUGAAAAUGCAAAUGCUACUGGUAGCCUGAAGCCUAUAGAAGUACAACAAACUGAAAUGUGCUCUUGGAAGAAACACAAACAAAGUGAGACAUGGGACUCCAAAGUGCUGACGAACAAGGAAGCACUCUCUAGAUGUGGUACAUUGGAAAAUCAAUAAAUUAAUACAGUAGGAUUGAAUGAUAGUCAGGACAGAUUGAUUUAGGCUGGUUAACUUUUAAGGGAUAUUACAACAUGGAAAACAGAAAAGUUCCUUUUGUUCCGUUUACCAUAGCUAUUUAACUUGAUGUGCAGUCAAUAUUCUAAAACAGCAUUAGUUAGUACUCCCUCCGUUUCAAAUUGUAAGUCGUUUUAGCUUUUUUAGGUUCAUAACUUUUGUUAUGUAAAUAGACAUAGUGUAUAUCUAGAUGCAUAGCAAAAAUUAUGAACCUACAAAAGCCAAAACGACUUACAAUUUGAAACGGAGGUAGUAUUAUCUACCUUUCUAAAACAGCAUACAUUUAUCUUUUCCUAUCUUUGCUAAUACCACGACUCAUUUAGGCAAGAAGGUUUAUCACCCUUAUCGAUGAGCUGUACAAUCAUCACUGCCGUCUUGUAUGUCUAGCUGCCUCAUCCAUUGAUGAUCUUUUCCAAGGAACUGAGGAAGGACCUCUUUUUGAUUUAGAGAGGUAAUUCAGUAACCUUUUCCUUAACAUGUUAAGCCCUUUUUUGUAAAUGUCAAAAGAUCAUGAACUGAAAAUAUGUUUCAAUGAACUUUGCCAUAUAUGUUGGUUACUUUGUUGAGCCGCGGGUUGUGGCGAAAAUGUUUCUGCUCGUCUGCAACAUUAAAAAAUAUAGAACAUUUUGCUAGAAUUGCACUGGCACUGAAUGAAUUUUCACAUGGGAGGUCAUGUUAUGCAGUUUUCAGUUUGAAACUGAGGCCGAAGGAACAAAGCUAAGAAGGGACGUUUUAGCAGAAGGCAAUGUUGGCAUGAGGCCUUCUACUAGUGGGCUUGUGGCAAUAUUGUCUGGUCAAGAAGAGAUGUUUGCGUUCCGCAGGGCGGUAAGUGAUGCACUUUUUCUUUACCUUGUUAUGUAUGAAUAGUUGUGAGUUGGUUGAGGUAAUUCAUGAGUAAUGCUGAAAAGUAGUAGUUGCUUGAUAUAAUUCAUGAGUACUAUUGAAAAGUAGUGUUAAGGCUAGAGAGGUUUUUUUUUCAAAAAAAAAAAAGACGUUAGAGCUACUUCUUGCUGAGAAAGCUCAACGGCUCAAGUUGUUGCCUUUUUUUAAUUGAACAAUGGCUCAAGUUUUGUUGCUCAUCCAUCACAAGUCACAAUGAUCUAAGGCGCAAUGCUAUAACGGCGUCCCUAUUUUGUUGAGCCUUGGUUCAGUUGGUUGUCCAGGAAGCAAGGUGUAGGUAUUGGUUGGUUUAUUUGAACUGAUGGCGCAUCUUGUUUCUGCAGAUAUCCCGGCUUAUCGAGAUGCAGACACCACUGUAUCUGGAGCGUGUGCAGCAUGCUCAUCCCUCCUUCCAACUGCAGGGUCCUGCUGUAGCAAGCAACAAUAGAGCCCGUGUUUCUCAGUCGGCUCCAUCGGUCUGACAAGGGGCAGCACUCACUGGAUGUGUAUGUACCAUGGUUAAGUUGUUGGUUCGCCUGACCGGCGACAGUUAAUAAGGCAAAUCUGAAACGAUGGCAGUGCUGAUACCCAGCCCAUGUAAAUGAUGAAGAGUAAAUCAGAAAAGAAUGCCAUUGCAUAAAACAUGUACAUUGGGCACGGCCCGCAGGUUUCUCAAUCGAUGUAGUCGCAGACUGGGCUGUCUCGUGGUUUUGUUAAGGCAAGCAGGCCCUUUCGAAAAUGCUUGGUACAGCGUGGGGGUUGCUUGCUUAGAUGAAUUGAUUGAAGAAAUGCAGCUAUCGUUCAUUCAUUGACAGCACAUUGACAUCUUCCCCAUCAGAGCUGCUUUUAGCUGUUGUUCGAGAUGCUUGUAGCUGUUGUUCGCUGUGGUCAGCGACACCAAGGCAGACCAGACAUUGCAGAAGUUGUGUAAGGCUCUUGAGCAAUCAGUUAGCGGUGUUUUCUAUUAUUCGCUAGCUCCUGCGCACUGAUCAACUGCUACUCAAGGUUUUCAGUGAAAUGACUUGUUGCAGGGAUAGCAUCUUUGAGAGUGUCACCUCACCCUUGAGUUCAAAUUCAAAUGACAAGAUCUGAUCGAUCAGGAAACGAAUCAUUUCCCAGCAGCAAAGUUUUCUUAAAACAAAAAAAUUCGAUGGACUCCCAUAACUUGUACCAGUGGUACGUACGACGAAGCUGAAUGGGAUCCUAGGAGAGGAGAGUACUAGGCUACUAGCUGGUGCAUCGGAUUCUCCUUGUUUCCUCGUGCCCUUGCAGCUAGCAGUGCCUGCCUGCCCAUUGAAUCUCAAGCAAUUCCUCCAGCUCCAUCUCUCAACUAAAAUUUUACACUCUUCACGUGUUGAUGGCACCGGCCAUGAAUCGUUUAGUUUGAAUUGGAACCAGAGAUCGAUCAUGGGCGGUCAAUGGGGACUUGAGCAGGCUCAUCUCUCUCUCUUUUUGUCCCAGCUUUUUUCAACAAAUAAAGGGCACGCAGCUAGUACGUAUAGUACGUACAUCCAAGCUGGGCGCACAUGGUCACUCCAUGUGACAUACACUUUGAUUAUCAGUAUAUAUCGGUCUUUCAGCUCAUGCAACUUGCUUCUACUGUACUAUAUUACUACCAUCUAAUCAAUCUAAUGUACUUUGAAGGGAUUAACUAAUUCAUUAAAGUGAAGAAAAAAGGUUAUCAGAUGCAUGCAUGCGUUGCAACUUGCAGUAGCUGAUCCAUCAAGUACGUGAGAAUGAUUUAGCUAGAGGCAAGAAUCUUCCAACGGUGGCGUGGCAGUCUACAUUAUAAGAUAUGCAUGCGAUUCGAAAUUCAAAUUUCGAACAGGAAUAAGCCAAAUGCAGGCGCAUUUGUCAGCAUUUUCUGACAGAUGGAAUAAUCUGUGUAGUAUAAUGUACGUGCGCGGCCGUUUGCCGCCCGUGGCGUUGUUCGAUCGUCGCUGCUUCCCAAGCACGACGCAUGCGACGCGAGGAAGAAGCACAUGCCAACCACAGAACCAAUGCAAGAUAUAUGCAACCGAGACAUGUUCUUGGAUCCCCGUACGACGUCGCCUAGGCUCGAUCGAUCUGCUAUGACCGACCACUGGGCAUCACAUCACCACGCUUUUCGAUAAACAGCUAUAAUCUGCUAGCGUUUUUUUUUUAUCCUCUUGCAUGCUGAAGCAGUUGACAUCGUCACGGGACACAAGUGUACACAGCUACAGGAUACAGCUACUACAGCACAGAAUGCACGGACGAACACAAGCAAAUUCAUCAAAAAGUUACCUAAUAAUUAAGGAAGAAUGGAAUGUGCGUCGUGAUCGAAGAAGUAAGGACAAGGUUGUUGGAGGGCAGAUGGAUGGAUAUACAUGACCGAAACAAGCUGUUGCCUUUUUGUGUUCUUCAUUCCUAACCCACCAUCUAGUUCCAGUCUGGUGAUCUGUUUAUUGUUCCCUUUUCUGUUUUUUCCCCUUGAACAAACUACAACCAAAGGCAUGGAAUCCAUGAAGAGGGCUUCUUCUUUUGACUACAACGACCCAUGACUACUAGAAAAGACCAAUUAUGUGUUUCACUUUGGCCACCCCUGUUAAACUCGCAAAAAAUGUAUUCAAUAAACACAAAUCCAUCCGAAAAUGUUUAGCCAGAAAGUAACCACCCAACCCAAGCUAAACACCAGCCAAUUAGGCAAUUAAUUACAGCAGAGAAAUGAUUCCUCAACUCACCAACCAGUGGCAGGGCCGGUAAAUCACCCGCGUUUGGGAGCCCAAUCUCGUUGGCGUAGGCUAUAAAUGGGGGAUGACAGCUCACUCCAUCUCUCCCUCUCGCUGACAGGUGGAUGUGGAGUUGGGAGCCAGCCACCAGGCCUCCUCCUCUCGCUCAUCCCACCGGCCGUCCACCCUGUUCGUUCCCAAAUUCCCAAACCUAGUUGGAGUAGAAGCCAGCCAGUCCAGCUGCAAGGCGGCGCAGCAGCCGACCUCCAUCCUCCUCUUCGAUCCGCCGCAGGCCGACGCUUCUAGCGUGGUGGGAGUGGAGAUCCGUCCAUCCGGUCCGCCGCCUUCCCCCUUGUUGGCUGGUGAGUAAUUCAUCGAUCCCAACUUGUUUUCUUCACUCGAAGGAUUCCAUUGUUUGUUCCAGGAAUCGCUUGGUCUUGAGAGUUCUCAUUCAGAUCCAAAUCGCUCCCUCCCCAUUUCAGUUUGCUGUGGAUUCAAAAAUCAUCCAUUUAGGGUUUCGUUCGAUUAAGUGGUUCGUCUUGUGCUCCUGCUGCGCUCGAGAAUGACAAUCAGCAGAUGCCGGCGGAACUUAUUUCCCUGAAAAAAGAGAGAUGAUUUUUGGUGUUCCUUUAAUUGAGCCCCCAUGCGCGCGGCUAUUGUUGGCUAAAACUGCGUUAUUUUAGCGCACGAGUAGAUUUUUUUUGGACUACAUGACUACAUGUCGGCACUAAAUUUAGAUGACGCCAUAAAAAAAUUGAUACUUUCCCCUCGAUGUCUGUUCAACGUAGCUGUUCGAGUUCCCUUUCCCCCUCGGACAGGAGAUCUGUGUUUUCUAGAUGUCGCAACAGCAUUAUGUUCUAUGGCUCAUUCAUUUGGUUUCGAGAGAAGUAGUAUACAACCUUGAAGCUAGCGGCAUCUGUUCAAUGACCUGACGUUUCUUGGUCCGUUUUUUUUUUCAAAUAGGUACACAGAUUGAACUAUGGACAACCUGUGGCAUCUUGGAGAUGAGCUCCGUGGCCAGCCAAAGGUAGUGGAGGACCGCCAGUGGUCUCUCAUGACCUCCAAGCUCGCUGAGAUCACCAAGUCCAAGGGCGAGAGGAUGAACGACCUUGACUAUGCGCGGAUGAACACCGUCCCUGAGGUCAAGCAGUGGGAUAAGAUGCAGUAUCACCAUGAUGAACCCAGGAUGGAUCACAUCAAUCUUGGCCUCAUGAACCUGGAUCUGAAGAUGAAUGAUCUGAAGAUGAACGAGGCUGCCCUCAAGAACCCUUUCCGCAACAUGGGUUAUAACAUGAACCCAAUGUACCCCAAGGGGAACAAUGCCAAUGUCAAUGCAUUCAAGAUGAAUGUUGGGGUCAACAAGUACUCCAAUAGUCCUAAUGUGAAAGAGGCCAUUGGAAAAAACAAUGGUGCCAACAACAAUGGAAGCAACAGCAAUGGAAACGCUAACAACAAUUCUGCUGUUGACAAGCGCUUCAAGACACUGCCAACGAGUGAGAUGCUACCAAGGAAUGAAGUCCUUGGUGGGUACAUCUUUGUCUGCAACAAUGAUACCAUGCAGGAGGAUCUCAAGAGGCAGCUUUUUGGUAUGCGUUACCACUUCUCCUGAUAAAUAACAUGAAAUAUUGUUCUGAAAAAUAACUUUCAUACCAUUUUUAAACUUUCUUUUGAUAAUAGCAUCUCAAGAUCUGUUGCUCUUCUGCAGGGUUGCCAGCAAGAUAUCGGGAUUCAGUCCGAGCAAUUACUCCUGGACUGCCUCUUUUCCUCUAUAACUACACAACUCACCAGCUUCAUGGAGUAUUUGAGGUUUGUGAUUAGCUGAUUUGCUGCUCCUUGGAUAGCCUCUCUGACCUUGUUAAACAGUUGUUUGUUUGUAAUACAUAAGAUAUUGCUAGCUAAUAAAUUGUGCAUCUUACUUUAAAAAAAAAAAGUAAAUUGCGCAUCUAACUAUCCAAGAAAUGGUCUUGUGCUUUCAUGCACUAUUACCAUUCUAGAUGGAAUAUUUUUAGCUUGCCUUCAUCUUUCUCCUUUUCCUUGUGCCCUUGUAUGUAAUUUCUUCUAACUAAUGAUUUGGUAGCAUUUAAAAAUAAACAUUAAACUAGAAAGUAUGAUCAUGGUUUUCCAGAUACUAUAGUAUAUGCAACCAAGCCUACACCAAUGUUUUAAAUCUCCCACUAUAGCUGCUGCUAUAGCCCGCUAUAGUUAUUUAAGGCAUGGUACCACUAUUUACUCUCAUGUACAAUUUAACCGCUAUAUCCCACUAUAGCCCCAUUUAGUUCCACUAUUAGCUGUUUUAGAGUCCUCCGCUAAACCUCUUAGCCCGCUAUUUAAAACAUUGGCCUAUACACAUUUUAGGUACAUGACAGCACAUCCAAGAAUUGCACUCUUGUAAGGCAGCUUUAGCUAGUAUUUCAUCCGGUGUUAGUUCCUACUUCCUACUGGUUUUGUAUGUGCUAUUUCACCAUCUCUGAUUCGGGUUAUUUUUUCAUGCCUAGUCUUGUAUGGUUUUGCACACUGUUGACGUAUUGUUACCAUUAUUUAGCAUUGCUUUAUAGUUGGAUCUAACUGUGCUUCUGUAUACAUCUAGCUCCAUAGUUUUUGUUAUUGACCCAUUUCUGUUAGCUCACUGAAUCAUCAUUGUUGUCAGUUUCAAUAAAUGAAUGCCUACUUCGAUUCCAUACAUUUUUAUUGUUAUUGAAGUUUUAAUCCCAUCUUAUGCUUCAGAAUAAAUCUAGCGGCUAAUUGUCUUUUGGUUUUGAAAUGAAUUUGCUUAGGCUGCCAGUUUUGGUGGGUCUAAUAUUGAUCCCACUGCAUGGGAGGAUAAGAAGUGUAAAGGUGAAUCCAGAUUCCCAGCACAGGUACUGGCAACAUUUUGCAUAUGUUUGUUUCUCAUUUCCUUCUGAUUUCAUGAUCUGACAUCUUCAUCGUGUUAGGUGAGGAUCCGCAUUAGGAAGCUUUGCAAGCCAUUGGAAGAGGAUUCCUUCAGGCCAGUUUUGCACCACUACGAUGGCCCAAAAUUUCGCCUUGAGCUCUCCAUCGCGGAGGUAUAUACCAUAUCCCAGCUGCUGUGCACAUGAAUUAUACAGUGAAAGCUCCCUUGCACAAUGAAACUUUAUUAGCACAAUAGCCCUUGUGUUCAUAGACUUUAUCAGAAUUCUGCAUUCAUGCUGCCAUGGUGAUCAAAUCGGUUGAUGUUCAGCUUCCGUUUACAUGCUGCCAAGAAAGUUUAUUUUUUGUUUGUGUGUGGAAGUAUGUGACAAAGGACAGUUACUUUUUAUAUCACAUUCUGAGGUCUCAUAGUUUAGUUGCAGUGCUUAUGUGCAGUGCUGAGAUACACAUUAGCCUGCACCAAUUACAAUAUUCCCUUGUUUAAAUCUUAAUUGUUAUUUUCUUGAUGUCUCCUCUGCAAUUCCGUGCAUCCCAUAGGCAUUACUUGUCUGAGGUUGAACAUUAAAUGGUGGACAUUUGCUAAUCAUCCUUCAGAAUUAAGAUAAAACAUGUUAAUCCCCUUCUGCUGGUCAGAUGAUGGCAUUAUACAGGAGCUUGUAGGCAUGGGAACUUGUUUUAGUUUUUUUAUUGGUCUAUUUUAAAUUUGUUAUGCAUGUUGUCUGUUGCGAUAAAAGUUCUUAGAGCAUAAGAAGAUGAGAAGUUUGUUUUUUUCUUAAAAAAGUGUGGUCAUGUCAAUCAUUCUCAUCAAAUAUAAUUUUUGCAGACCUUGUCACUGCUAGACCUGUGCGAGAAGGAAGGCAUCUGAGCUGUUGGGGAGGUGGUUGCCUUGAGCUUCUAGUAAAUAUUAAUCAUCCUUGUAUGUUUUGUGGAUGGUGGUUGGGCAAUGUUGUUUGUUUAAGCGCAAGCUGCUGCUGGUUUCAUUUUCCCUACCUGCAAGGAAGGAAGGAGAAGACCUGGUACUUGGAAGGCCCCUCGAAAAAAGCAAGCUGUGAGGCUGUCUGUGUACUGCGUUGCGUUGUGUCGUCCUGAACCGAAUCAAUCCUGGGUUGGAGAUGUGUAUGUUUUGCUGUCUAUCUAUCUACGUGUGGUAGCAGAGUUGAGUAUACCUGGGCAGAAUGGGACCCCGAAAGAUGGGGCCCUGUAUACUGUGUAAUGGGUUACGAUGCAUGCAUCAUGGCGCCCCAAAGUAAGGGCCGAUGAUGUCGUCGUUCUGAGUUUGUGUUUUGUGGUGUUGUACCUUGAACCUCCUUUGCAUUUGACUUGAUGCUACCUUUUGCACUGUCUGAGAGUGUUGGCUUCUGGUUCACGUUAUGCUGUGAUGUACCAUGGUUGAUUCAGUUUGGGUGUUGUGAAGGCUAAAAACUAAAAGGUGGCUUGUGGAACAUUGUGUCCAGCAGCAGGUUAUGGGUUGCAGGUGCACCUACCAAACUUGGUGUGUGAAACAAAACAAGAGCAACUGAUAAGGUGGUUGAUUGCAUCGGUUCAACUGCUCUCGGUCAGACAGGAAGGAGCAGCAGCUCUUUGUUGGUGCGCUGUCUCCAUGUGUUUUUCAGCACUCACUGAUUCCUGAACUGAAUGCAGUUCUCGUCGGAGGGUACCAUGUCAGCACUCCAAAAAGCUCAGGAAUCCCAGUCGUAAACCGUUGAACAAUCGACGUUUCAGCUUUGGCGGCGACAAGAGAUUGGAUUGAUUGCCUCGUCUGCUGUUAAUUGAAACAGGGCAGCUUAACACGUAAGGUAAAGCAGUCUGCUGCAGUGCAGAGGACGAACGCGACGUGCAACCCGUGCGCCUGCUGUACCUGCUCUGCAGAUACAUGCAUUAGACUAGAAAGAUACAUGCUCUGCAGAGUGAGUAUUAUGCCUCUUGUUCCAUUCUCAUCUCACUGGACAGAAAUCGCCAGUAACCAUUCCUUUUGAGGUUUCAGUUUGAUCCCAGCUCAUUCUGAAUGUGCAGCAGCAGACCAGCGGCAGCACAAGUAGGAGCAGGGGAGGGAAGGGGAGUGUAUGAGUACUUGUACUUGGGGUUGAAUAAGCCAAGUGCACGAAACCUCAGCUAUUGCAAUUAGAUAUAAUCAUCAGAUAGAAGUAAAAAAAAAAAGGCGGUCAGAAUCAACAUUAUAAAGUCAGGGGCUGAAACUGCAACGCACAUCGGUAUCGGUACAGAACAAGAAGGCUGCCCUCAACGAAACACAUCUUCGAGGCCAGGAGCAGGCAGCAGCUCAUCUGAUUUCCGAAUCUCACGAUGGUGGCUGGAUCUCGAUGUUGUCAAUCAACCUCACCUUCCCAAACCAUGCGGCGACACAAAUCACAGCAGGGCGAUCGAUCCUCUCAACAGGCGUCAAGCUCUCUUGCUCCACAAUCUGCGUUCACAACAGCGAUCCAUUUCAUGUUAGACUAACUUUCCCAACUUGCGGGUCACUUACCAUAUACAAAACGUCUCCUGAGAUGUCAUCACGCUAUUAUCAAAGCCGUCUAAUCGAAACCAAACAUUCAGUCUUCCCACAAGUCAGGUUUAAUAACAAAAGGUUUAAUUAUAUAAAAAAGGUUUUCUGAACUGUUUCAUGAUACAAAGCAUAAAUGCCUAAAGCUUUCAAAGGCUCUCGAGGAAAAUACCAGAAUAAGAUACCACAAAACAAUAACCACUUUCGCUAAAUAAAAACAAUAACCACAAUGACGACGACGACCAUGAUGGGAUUGCAGAGAACUCAACCGCCAGAUAAAAGGUCUAAAAACACAGAUAACUUGAACAGCUGAGCAAAAGCCAAGAACAUUACCUCAACAUAGUCAACCUGACCGCCAGCUUCUUCAAGUGUCUGCACUAUUUGAUCUUUUAUUUGUUGGCCAUGACUGUUUCCAUUCAGCGCAGCGGUUCUAGCAUUCACCAGUGAUCUACUGAUGGAUAAUGCCUACAUAGGAGAUCAUCACAAUCGAAGGAAGGUUUAUUUUGAGAAAGGUGCAAAGAUAUUUACAAAGAGUAUAUGCAAUGAUCAACAAUUGAAAAUAAUGCUUUCUUCUAGGAUUUUUACAUGUAGCUCCCCUCCAUAGCUAUAAAUAAAUUUGUUAUAUCUCGCCUAUCGAGUCAUAAGAACCACCUAAAGAUUAUUGUGCCAACAAACUGAUAACAGCUCAAACCGAAAGAGGAGCAACAUGGAAAACAGCGGUGAAAGUAACUCCUGCUGCAAGGUCGAAAUUUUAGUUAUAUUCAAAUUUUCACCUAGAGCCAGUUCAACAACUGCAGAGGAAAGUUGGUGCAUUUCGCACAAGGCUUGUGUCGAAAAGUUGUGAUGUGAGGCCAAACUAGAUAAAGCAUUGAACAAAUUGAACCACGAAUUUGUUGAACAAACUGGCCCAACAGGUUGAUCCAGGAGGGGAAGGAUACACUGGACAGCAAGACAAACCUAAUUCUAAAACACUGUAAUUUCUAUGGUUCUCUGUAUUUUGGCGAUAGCAAUACCACAAAUUGUCAAAAAAAAUCACUACAAAAACAAUCUACCAGCUUUUUUCAGAAAAAGACAAACCUUUUCCCUUUCCUCACACGAUAGGUGCACAUUGCGGGAGCUCAUGGCAAGACCAUCAGCUUCUCGCACUAUUUCUGAGCCAAUAAUCUCAAUGGCAAAAUCAAGAUCAUGAACCUGAAAACAACAAAGCUUUAUCUCAGCAACAGAAACUAACUAGAGUUACACUGAGAUAAACAGAUAAGAGAUGACACACAUUAUGUGGGGAUGCAACUGAAGAGAACCAUCAAAACAGAAAGCAAACAAGUUAACCACUGAAGCAUUAUUUGAUUCAAAAUGGACAUUUGGAUGGAGCAAAAUGUAGUCUCUAAAUAGUCACCAUGUGAUAAGCUAUUUAUAGACUAUCUAGAAGCAAGUUGGUCAAGUUGGUGAAUAGGGCAGUGAAGAGAAGAAAAAAGAACUACUAUUCUGCUAGGUAGUUACCAUCAUUCGAUGGCCAACUUUGCGCUUACUCAUCAAUGUUGUUUUAUUCUAUUCAUAUAACUACUUGAAUUGCCGAACCUGACAGACAGCAAUUAUAAAAGAAACAAAGUAGUAUGUUAAUGCCAAACAAGUUAUUGUUCUAAAAAAGUUACCAUCCGGCAGAGGAAGGAAGGUGGAAAUAAACAGGAGCAAAAAACAUUAUUUUAGAUUUGUUACCAUUACUGUAUCUGGAUGGCCUACUCCUUUUUUUUGGAACUAAAACAAACUGGAUGGCCUACUUUGUUCUCACAUAGCAAGACUGUAUUUUCAGCACUUGAACAGUUGGACCUGACAGACGCCAACCAAAACUGAACAAAGUGCAUGCAUGUGUCAGUGUCAAUGUCAAAGAAGUUACCAUCCGGCAGAUGACGCGCCACUGUUGAUAAUCCUUCUUCCCGAACACCGCGAUGUCCGGCUCGACGAUGUUGAAGAGCUUGGCGACGACGGUAGCCACGCCGCGGAAGAAGACGGGCCUGCUGCUCCCGCACAGCCCCUUCUCCAGCCGCUCCACGCGAAUCCACGUCUCGUGCCCGUACCCAUCGCCCUGCUCCAGGCAGGAGAUCGCGCCCCCGGACUCGCUGGCAUCGGGGCGGCCGCCGCGGACGUAGAGGUCCGGGGGGCAGAAAACCGCGGCAACGGCGCCAGUGGCGGCGAGCUUGCGGAGGUCCCCGGCGAAGUCGGAGGGGUAGGUGGCGAGGUCCUCGGUGGGGGCGAACUGGCUGGGAUUGACGUAGAUGGAGACGACGACGGCGACGGGGCCGGCGGCGGCCGCCACCGCUGCGGAGACGAGCGAGAGGUGGCCGUCGUGGAGGAAGCCCAUGGUGGGGACGAGAGCGACGACCUUGCCCUCCGCGCGACGGCGGCGUGACCACGCGCGCAUCGCCGCCUUGUCACGGAUCACCUCCGGCUCAUGCGCCGCCGCCGGCAUGGGAGCAAAAUGGAAUCGCACGGCAGACUGAUGAGGAGGAGGAAAAGAAAAAAGAAAGAAAUUUGUUGACAAUAAGUGAGAAUGGGAUGCGGCAGCAGAUAAGUUGUGGGGAGGAAACGGAAUCGAGGACGGCCAGAGAGUGGGAGGGGAAAGAAGGAAUUUUCUUUCUGCCUGUUGCAAUUCAAAAACAAUGCAGCAAGUAGCAGCCAGGGUAGACUCUUUCUGGACAUGAUAACGACAUCUACCCGCCAUCGAUCGUUGGAUAAUAUCAAUAAAAACAUUUUUUUUCUUUCCAGCUAGCACAAUGGAAUUGUAGAUGCAGGAUUACAAUCGUUUUUCAAGCUAUCUCGAAAGAAAGCAGGUGCUAACAUGCCACGCUGCUCUCCGCUCGUAAGAUGCUUGCUUAUACUUCCUCCGUUCCAAAUUGCAGGUCAUUUUAGCGUUGAUAUGUAUAGAUGGAAAAACCAAAAUGAUCUACAAUUUGGAACGGAGGGAGAAGCAUAUUAGCUGAGACAUUAUUAGAGGUGCGCAAGGGAAAAUUAAUUUCCUGCGGAGCUCCUUGGUAUCCAAAAGUAAUUUCCACCGGGUUCUUCCAUGUAUCCACAAUGAGUUGGCAGCGAGUUUCAACAAUAUAUACAGACCGUGGAUCACACCACUGGCAUGUUGUGGUCUCUAUGCCUGGUAAAUAGUUGGAUCAGACUGGAGAGUCGGUUCCCAGAAUCCCACGCAUGAUGAACCCUUCAUCUGAGGAACAACCGUGUCAUUCAGCAUCUCAUAUAUUUCAGCACAUUGUGGAUGCUCUUGAUCCCUAGAGUAGAACACAUGAUUCCUCAUGUUCGCCUCAAUCUGACUAAAACCAGGCGCCUUCUUCGACUUACUGCCCUUCAUGAUCUUCCACACAUUUGCUGUCUCAUCCCACAUUCCAUGUGACGCAAAUACAUUGGCCAGAAGCGUGUAGCGUCCUGAAUCAGAGGGUUCGAAUCUGACAAGAUCCUCACCCACUUCUCUUGCUACCUCUACCUCUUUAUGCGUCACACAGGCUCCUAGUAGCGUCCCAAGAAUGGCUUCAUCACGCAUGCCCUGUGGCAUACUGUCGACAAGUUCCUUGGCCUCCCUAACAUACCCUGCUCGACCUAGAAGGUCAACAAGGCAAGAGUAGUGCUCAAUGCUUGGCUCUAUUCCGUAGCCAUGGUAAAUUGAUUUGAAAAUCUUGCGGCCUUUCUCGACCAAGCCAACAUGGCUACAAGCUGACAGAAUGGAUGUAAAGGUAGUUGAACUGGGCUUAUACCCAUGCCUCAACAUCUGAGCAAAGCCCUGUAAGGCAUGGUAACCACAGCCAUGGUUCGCAAAAGCUUGCAUUAUCGACGUCCAUGUUAUGGUAUCCUUCACUUCCAAUCUCUUAAAAGUGAGCUGAGCAGAAAGCAGAUCUCCACUUCUUGAGUACAUUGUGAGCAAGGCAUUUCCUAAAUCAGUUUCUGACAGGAGUCCAAGUGUGACAACCAAGCCAUGGAUUUGCUUAACUUCCAUUGUGCUCUCAAGCAUAACUAGGAUACUAAUUAAUGUACAGAUGUUAGGAGAUACCGCUGAGCGUCGCAUAAGAAGAAAUAUGUUUACGGCUUCAUCCUUACGCUUGGUCUUGGAAUACGCCUCGAUAAUGGUAUUCCAGGUCACCAGGUCUUUUGCAAGCAUCGAAUCGAAUAAUCUCUGGGCCUCAUUCAGCUGGUCAUUGUUGGCAUAAGCAGUAAUCAUCGCAUUCCAUGCCGCAGUAUCCUUUUUUGGCAUCAUAUCAAAGAACUCUCUUGCCCUGCACGCAAAACCAUUCUUUGCCAAGCCAGUGACCAUUAUAGUCCAAGAAAUCACAUUCCUGUGCGGCAUUGUCUCAAACAAUUGAACUGCUUCAUCCACUUUUCCAGCGCUGAGAAAACCGGAAAUCAUGGCAUUCCAAGAAUAUGUGUUCCUCUUGGGCAUCCUAUCGAACAGUUCCCAUGCCUCUUGAAUCUGACCACUGUCAGCGUAGGCCUUAACCAUGACUGUCCAAGCGACCACAUUCCUCUCAGGCAUUCGAUCAAACACCUCCCUGGCUUCCUUGAGCAUCCCAUUGCUUGCGUACCCCUGCACCAUCGCCGUCCACGAAACAACAUUUGGAUCAGGCAUCACAUCAAACAACUGGCGCGCUUCGUGAACACGGCCGGUGCGGCAGUACCCAUAGACCAUGCAGGUCCACGCGACGACGUUCUUCAUCGGCAUUCCGUCGAAUAGCUCGCGCGCGCGGUCGACACGCCCAGCCUUGAUGUACCCGUCGAGCAUAACGGUAUCCAGGUAAAGCCCCCGAGCAGCCGCGGGCGCCGCGCGGAAGAGCGCCUCCGCGCCCAGCAGGUCACGUUGCUGGAGGUGGCGGCUGAUGUUGGCGGCGUAGGAGACGGCAUCCUCCCGGUUUGGCGUUUCGGCGCGAGUGGCCGCGCCGCCGCGCUGCUGCUUGGGUGCGGCGGGGUUUUCGCUGGCCGAACGGAUGCCUUCUCGGGUGGGUUGCCGCGGCGGGUCAUGGGCCUCCGCAACGGUGCCAUGGAGGCGGAUGAGCGAGCACUGGAAGGGCAGCUCGAACGGGGCGCGGCCAGCGGUGAUGCCGCGCCGCCGCGCGAGGGCGAGCGAGUCGCCGCUGCUAGUACGGAUGUCUCCAUGGGCGCUUCGUCGUGGAGGCGUGCGGAACUUAGCGACGGUGCCGUGCCGGUGGAGCGGCGAGCAUUGGGAGAGGAGAGGGAGGACGCGCCGGCGCCGGCAACGGGGAAGCAUUGGGAGUUGGCGGGGAAUUUUGCAACUAGGUCCUCGGUUAGUAACCUAGCUGGUUCAGAACGAGGGGGCCAGCAUGGGUCAGCGUAUAUUAUGCGAAAAGGUCCAUACUAAAGUUUUUUUCGUUCAAGUAUACCCCCAACUGGAUCGCCAUUAUUAAUCGCGAUCCAAUUUUGGAUGACUGCGAACCGCCGGAUCAAUUAUACGCGGCUCAGAACGGCUUCUGGUAUAAUAGCAGCGGCCAUUUGUCGAAAUAGGCCUUAGUGUUUAAGAAUACCUUCAAACACUCCUGGUGGAUUUGAACCGUCCGAUCGACACUCCAGGGCCCAGAUCGAGGGGUGUAAUUUUACGGAAACGACCCUUCAUUGACAUGGCCGGUCAAAUGGGAUGCGAACCGGCGGCGGCGGCCGCCGCGCACGGCGACGUGGUGCCGCCGCCGCUGCUUCCGGCUUGCCCCCGAAAGAUCACUGCACGGCAAGGAGGAGCGAUUCCGGCGAGGAAGGUCGCGGUCCUCGAAGCGUGGAGGACUACCAUGGUGGCGCCGGAGGUCGUCGUCGGCAGAAUUUCAAAUGCAGAACCCAGACAGGACACUGAAAUGAAAAUUUCUUCCUUAUUCAUUAAGAAAAACUCAUGAACGAUCCAUAGAGUAGCGAUCCAACGAACCCAUUCCCACCUUAAUUACGCAAGCAAAAUCCGGCAUGCAUACUCUCAAUACAUACACCGAACUGAAGAAAAGAAACUUCUUUCGGCGGAGAAAGCAAAGCAGGGCACAGCAGAGCAAGACUGCAGGAGCAAAGCAAGGCAUGAAGCAAGGUGAUGAGCAGCUUGGCGGCGGCGCCUAUACAAAGGCGUGCUUCUCGAGCAGCUUGAGGACGUCCUCCUGGUUGUUGAGCUUGGCCACGUCGAUGGGCGUCUUCCCGUCCAGGUUCUGCAGCGUCCUGCAAAAGGCACAAGAUCAUGCAUGAGCAAUCGAGCUUCAGAAUGAGGAAUUUCCGUUUCAGCUCGGUCAUCAGUUUGGUAUCGAUCAUCAUCAAUCAGGUGGACGGUCCCUUACACGGCGGCGCCGCUCUCGAGCAGGAGGGCGACGCAGUCCUUGCGGCCGUAGCCGGCGGCGUAGUGCAGCGCGGUGUUAUUGUUCUUGUCCACCGCGUCCACCGCCGCGCCGGCGUCCAGGAGCACCUGCGCGCACUUGAGCUCGCCGUACCCGCACGCGAAGUGCAGGCCUCUACGGCCUUCCGAGUCCUCCUCGUCUUUGUCCACGCCAUCCUCCAGCGCCUUCUUCAGGCCCUGUCACCGUGACGACCAUGCAUACAGGUAUGUUCAGCAAUGAUCAUAGAGCCAGCCAACUGAUGAUGAUCCAGAGCGCGCUGCACUGCAGUGACAGUAAGGUGGCAGACUGACCUCGACGUCGCCGACGCUCGCAGUGUGGUGGAUGAUGGACGACUCCUCGUACUCGCCUUCCUCCUCGCCGGCCUCUUCCUCGGCCUCGUCGUGCUCCGCGCCGGCGGCCUCGCUCGAUGGGCCGACACCCAUCGCCCGCCCGAACUUCUGCAGAGCCUCGGGGUCGUUCCAGUACCUGCACAAACCAUGCAAGACACUCCAGCAGGCUCAGAGAUCAUUCAAUUCGUCGGUUUGCGCAAUCCUUCCUUGAUGAAUGAACUUGACGACUCACUUCAUCAUGGCAGCGGGGCCGCCGGUCUCGAUCUCGUCGAGGAUGGGCUUGAGCGUGGGGUCCUCCUUCAUGCGCGCGAUGCGAGCCUCGAGCUGCUCCUUGUGCGCCGGGUUGGUGAGCCCGCCCAGCAUCGUCGCCAUGGCCGGGUCCUGCAUCAGCGCGCUGCCCAGCCGCUCCGCCAUCGCCACGAACUGCGGGUUCUGCAUCAGCUGCUGCAUCGUCGCCACGUACUUCUGCGGGUCCAGCGCCGCCGCCGCCUGGGGCACCGCCUGCUUCGCCGCCGGCGCCUGCCGCGGGGACACCACCGUCUUCUGCAGCUGCUCCGCCAUCUGCGUGAACGCCGGGUCCUUGGCGAUCUGCUCCGCCAUCUCCUUGAUGCUCGGGUCCUGCUCGGUCCAUCCAUUCGUUCAUUUAAUUCCAACAAGAAAUAUCAAAUACUACAUCCAAACCGUAUCGAUUUCCAAAUAAGUGAAAUGAAAUGGCAUGAAAAUUUUGGGUUACCAAAAUCGAACCACGAAAAGCUAGCACUUUUUCACGCAAGGGAUCCGAGACUAAAAACGGCACGGUCUUCACAUGGUACAUGUACUACUGCCGACGGAGAUUAAGGCUGUUCAGCUCAAUUGAGUUUGUGAAUGAAUGAAUGCACCGGAUGAACAGCGUCAUGAACCCGGUCCAUCAUCUUUGCUAAUCUCUACUGAGCUUCACAUAUAAGAACUACUUCUAUGUUGCAAAAAAGGAAGGUGAUGCCUCAGCUGCGUACAUUAAGGAGGUUCAUCAUGGUGGAGAAGUCGAAGGGGUUGGCCGGCGCCGACGGCCCGGCCCUGCGCGUCGCCCCUGCUGCUGGCUGCUGCUCCUCCGCCGGCGAAGGCUCCUCUGUCUUGACCGUAGCAGUCUUCUCCUCUGCACAAACAACUCCAGUUAAAUUAUCUCUUCUCCAGCUCUUCAACUCCUUGGCGCAAAUCGCUCACGCAACAAAAGAAAAGAAAAGAAAAGGGAGAGAGAUUCCUGACUGACCUUGAGCAGCCAUGUCGACGGCGGCCGGGAAGGAAGCAGGCGCUGGCGCUGUUGCCCCUUGUUAGCGAUGAACCAGCCGAGGAUGACGAUAAGGUGCUGCUGUGGAGAGGAGGAAACGCGAGGGCGACCAACCAGAGGUGUCCACCGUGUGGUUUCGUUUUUAUAGGGGAAGGGUGCAUAAGCGCUUGAGACCUUGAGUGACUGCGGUUUCUACACAUGGAUGGAUGGAGAUGGAGCAAGUAGCAUCUCCUUCGACACAGCAAGGGCAAGGUAGAUCUUCCUAGCAAUUGCUCAGUUUUUUUCAAGGUAAAAAAAAACGCCGAUCUUUCUGAAUUCUUAAUCUACGUCUAGUUUUUUUUUUUAAGUUGUCAAGAAAAGGCACGUUGCUUUUUUAAGGUCACAUGGCAACCACGUAUAGAAUUUCAAAGCUGAAGUAUGAAAUACUUUCAAUUCCCGUGAUUAUCAUUUGCUUUCAAUUUUCUACGGAUAUCACGGUGAAAUGAGACCUUUUCUUUUCUCUAUAAUAAAGUCGUGCGUUGUGUAUUAGGGGGAAAAUAAAUGAAAACUUAUCUGUGAAAGGAAAAGAUAACCAAAUCAGCAUGAAUGAUAUUUUACCACUGAAUUUUUUUCGAAAGAUUACCACUGAUUUUCCCUAAAUAAAAAAGAAGUGAAUUUACCGUGUGAGUUGGGUCUUGGGUGAGCCUUUAGCAUCUACAGGGGACAGUGCGUGGGCCAGGAGAUUGAGGUGCCAAGCUUCUUGCGUGGCAUUGGGAAUCCAGGACAGGGAUUGGGAUAGCAAAUGUGUGGAUGGAAUUGCUUCUCCAGGAAACACCCUACUAUUGCGACAAAAUCCAUGAUGUUGUAUCUCUUCUACUAAUAUUUGCCACCUGUCACCAUUAUUGGACAGUACUCAUUCUAAUUCUACCACUCAUAAUGUUAUGAUUUUCACUGACUAUGUUUUCUUUCCCCUUUCUGAGAGUAUACAAGUGCGCAUUAUUACUAGCCUUCACUACAUUGAUAGAAUUAGUGCGGCAAAAGAUAGGUGACAUGCCAAAUCUGGGAACACCCCCCUCCCUCUGGCAUGAUCCAAAUAUGAAAGAACCCCCAGCGAUAAAAAGAGCGGGGUCAGAACGCCAGGUGCCAGAAUACUGUUACUAUAGUAAUACAGAAUACAAAAUAUAGCCGGAGGCACCUUCGUAUGCAUUAGUGUUUUUUUUACCACCCAACAAGGUAAAACCACGGCAAAAAUGCAGUGACAGAUGAGGGCAAAACAUGCAGCUGAAGCGUCUUCAGAUGCUUGCCACUCUGGCAGUGGCACAUUGGAGAACCCAACAGCCUAGCAGUCCCAGUCGCAGCAGCUCAAAAGGCGGAAAUGCUUCAACCAGCAGGAUCAAAACUUCCAACUGUGGGGCUCUUCAGCUGCAUGUGUCUGCCACACCGGAACCCAAGGGCCUAGCAGGGCCAGCAAAACUAGCUCAAAGUGGGCUGAUUUUGCUGUUUCUUCAACAGAUCCUCUACUUCUCUUUGACCAAGAUCAGUACAAACUCCUCCUUUAGGGAAACAAAUUUCCCAGGUCUUUCUGGAACAUUACUAUAUCACUGCAAAAGCCAUUUCUAGGCAGCAAAAUCAGCCCAGAACGUGAUGGCACUUUCAUGAAUAUUUGUGGAUUCCAAUAUUAAGGUCCGAUGAUAUGGAGGUCAGGUAUGGUGAUGUUUGGUGCCAAACAGCCUUGAACACUCGCUUCUGGUGUGCCUGAACAGACUGGCACGGCUUCUGGCCAUGAUACCUGAUGUCGAAAAUGUGGAUCACAGGGUCUGCAGAGCCAGAUGACACGUACCACCCAUCAGGAGACCAUGACUGGUUAAUCAGAGCUGACUGAGACUCGCUGCUCUCUUGCUUCCAACCGAAUGCAUGAACCUCAGUCUGCCUAAGCCUGAUGUCAAACAAGCGGAGCUGACUGCCUGGCGCCCUGUUAGCAAGAGAAAACAUACAGAUUGUUUUAAGCAUGCACCCCCAUGCAUUAAACGAGCACAACUGACAACCAUUGCACAAUGCACAUAGGACCCCACAUAAUAACUAUGUAUGUAAACUAAAAUGGAUUUUUCUUCAUAAAACUAGAGCUUCAGCAGUACAUUGACCUCCUAUGUUAUAAUGCAAGAAUAGGUUGAGAUGACUAAGAGGUUAAAGAUUACAACUAUGAAAUGGAUGCGUUAAUCCAGAAACAGCAUUCUUGGUCUGUUUGGAACUAUCGCAAUCACUGUGUGUUCAAUGGGGAUCCACCUAACCUGAAUGGAGUUCUAACUGUGCUAAGAGAAGAACUGCACUUGUGGAGUUUGGCUGGGGCUCAAGGAAUUUCUCAUCUCCUCGCCCUAGUACCCUUGCAAGUUUAGCUGGUGUUUCUGGUCUAGGUCUGGUCAUGGCUAUUUAGUUAAAAGGUGAUUGUUUCUGUGUGAGUUUUUUUUUUGGGAGUUCUGUACAGGGCCCCUAAACCUAUAUGUUACUUGGGGUUUCUAAACCCCUUUUUCUUCUUAACAUAUUGAUCCGCAGCUCCUCUCUUGCGUGUUCGAGAAAAAAAAUACUUACCCUGUCUGCACCAUGUAUAAGUUGAAAUCGCAUGGAUUUGUUAAUACACUCAUGCAUUUGCUAUCAAUUAGGUUCUUGAACUCUGUCCUUCCAGCAGAGAGAUCAAAUCCUAUUAUCCUCUUGUCGCAGCCAACUGAUAUUAUAGUUUUUUUCUGUUGCAAUCCAGCAACACCCAUGACAGCGGAAGAAUGGAAAUCCUUGUGCACUCUCUUGUGUUUCCAUGAAUCAUCUUUGUCUUCCCAAAGUAUAACAGCGUGAUCACUUCCCCCGGUCACAAAGCAUGCAUCAGACCAGGGCAUGAAACUGAUGUUGUUUAUGAUUCCCUUCGUGUGAGGCUUCUCUGGUAGGAAAGUAACCUUCCUCUGUUUCAGUACAGGGAAAAAAUUGUGGAACGCCCUUUAGUAAUAUUUCAAGAAAGUAAAUCAUCUGUUACUCACAAAAAUAAGGCAUAGAAAAGUAAACCUAGGGUUAACAGAACCAAUUCUUUCAAGGUUACAUCACCGUAACAACAAAUCACAUUAAGGCAUUGAUGCCUACAAGUGAAAACAGGAGAAUAGCAUGAAAAUAGUCAUUUAAGAACAGCUAAGUUACGAUUCGUUAAUUAAAGGUACACCACAUCAGCAUCCAAUCAUUUUUCCCAUCACACUUGAUAGAACAAAAAGAAAGAAAAAAUUCAGUCUCCUAACUAUAAUUUGCAGGGAUUAAGUAAAUGCACGAACAGGAAUAAUUAAAAGAACCAUCUCUCAAAUUCCUCCCUUUAACAAUAUUAUUUAAAAAUACUAAUGAUUUGAAAUCAGAUAUGCAGAAUUUGUUAUUAGUCUCAUUUUAACAACUGCUCCUAGAAUAGAGAAAGCUGUGUAGCAGGAUGUAAGGGCAUGCACCAGUUUUAACAGAGGCCUUACCUGUCCUGAUAUAAGGUUUGUCAUUGAAACCUGAGAAUCACCAUUAUCAGCAGUGUAUACAGCAAAAAUUGUGUCACCAUCUGGAUGCCAAGCUAUAUCUUCAGGCCAUCUAUGCUUUGGGGAAAAGCAAUCUGUUUUGCCACGAAAUGAGAUAGAAGGUCUGCGAGUACAAUAACGUAAAUUGUCAUGGUGCGAAAUUGAAAUGAUACGGUGAUACCCACCCAACAAAAUUUACCUUUUCAAUAAAGCAAACAGUCUUUGCAUCAGGGUGGUUCCCCAACCAUUUCAAGUUAAAGUGUACAAUGUACUCAAACAAUAGGUGGAUCUAUCACAGAGAACUAUAUUCUCCUUAGUCCUUAUAGUUACCUGCACUACUGGUAUAUAAAUUUAGCAUUGACAUUUUUACAUCACAUGUGAUGGGAUUGUAGCAUUUUUUCCUUCAAAAAGUACUGAUAUGGAACAUGGAUAUACCAUAUACAUAAAGAAAAAAUCAUACACUUCCAGCAUGUUGUAUCUUUACUCAAAUUUUAUCCAUUUUAGCCUGCCUCCUCAUGAGUACAUGGCUCCUUUAAACAGCCACGCAACUGGAUAUGCCAAUACAAAUCACUAAGAAACCAACUAACCUAGCAGAUAAGAUCACACUAUUGCUGCCUUGCUUGGAUGGAGCAGCCAUGCCGCUUGGCUGACAUGUUAAUCCUAGCCUGUCCGGUGACAGUUAAAUAUUUUACGAGAUUCAGAAGGCUAAGGUCAUUUCAUGUUAAAAUAGUAUAUCAGCCGUCACGCCCAUACCAAGUUCACUUUAAUUAAAACAAUAAGCUAAAAUUUUGCUGCCGCAUGUUGAAGGAGAGUUGUUGGGUGUUUGACCAUAGUGGUGUUACCCAUGGCACAUGUACUGUGUUGGCACAUCCUUUUUGGCCACUAACUGUGUUGAACUUUCAGUUUUGUCCCAGAGCAUUACAACAUUUUGGUUAUCUGAACCUGGGCUGCUGAAUUUAAUAUGUAAGUGUUGAGGAGAUGCAAGAAGUGAAACAAGAGACAAACAGUAUCAGGGAGCAAAUUAAAUUGCCUUUUCUGCUAAUGAAUGUUGCAAGGUAGACAUGCGCUAAGGUGGGCACUUAAGUCUUAACUGCAAAAAUCCACACUUGAGCUUCAUAAACGAAAUACUUAAAUCCACGUAAUUAAUUAUUGAUAUCAACCUCGUGUAUGCAUUUAUUAUCUACUUAGUGUCUUCGAGAACCCUAAGGCUCCUGUUGGCACAAUUCUACUAACCUAAUGCAAAACCCUCAUUAAGUACUGCUGAGUCAGUCAUUAAGACUUAUAUAAAGUACGGAUUUAAUUUUUGGCAAAGCCAUAAGUUUCAAUUCAUCAUCAAGUAACUAUAACCACUUAUGCUGAGCUCAUUGGAAGUGUCAUUGGGCACACACUUUACCCAGUUCAUAUUUCACUACCAUUUUAAAAAACUAGUGAAAUAUCUCUGAAAUAUGUUUGAAAGCUAAGUUAAAAAAAAGUUAGCAGGGAUGAAAAGAAAACAGCAUGCUGACAAUUCAGAGUGACAUUAUGCCUACCCUCUUGGCUCCACCUGCCACAAAGUAACCAAUCCAUCCAACGCACUGCAUCACAAGAAACCAUAAGAUUAAAAGUUUGGAAAACUUAAGCAAACUUCUCAUAUCAUUGGUAAUUAAAAUUAAUUAUUUCAUUUUGCUAAGAUGUCUAUCGGAACGGUGGUUGAGAACUUAGUCUGCCCUCCCAGUUUACAAUUCUAAACCAGCAAACCUAUAGUGCUGCCCACAAAAAAAAAAUGUUUCACAAAGAAGUACAGGCGUCCAACUUGGAACUUUGGAAGAAGAUUGCUUUGUGAGCCUGUGCUUGUAGACUGACAUUACAUAACUUUUUUUUUCGUGAAUUGUUGCAGGCAACCAGGUCGAAGCAAUUAAAAAUUAUGGAGGUGGAGAAAUGAUGCCAAAGAUGCCAAAGGUGACACUAAUAGUUUUUUUGAGCUUCUCAUUGCAUGAUCAUCCGUGAACUAUAGCCUACACCAAAUUCGCU